rnacentral:rRNA from 1 species
AGUGAACGCUGGCGGCGUGCUUAACACAUGCAAGUCGAACGAGAACGGAUUAUAGCUUGCUAUAAUUGUCAGCUAAGUGGCGCACGGGUGAGUAAUGUAUAGGUAAUAUGCCUCUUACUAAGGGAUAACAAAUGGAAACGUUUGCUAAUACCUUAUACUCCUUAUUAUCAGAAGUUAAUAAGGGAAAGAUUUAUUGGUAAGAGAUUAGCCUGUAUUGUAUCAGUUAGUUGGUGGGGUAAUGGCUUACCAAGACUAUGACACAUAACUGGUUUGAGAGGAUGAUCAGUCACACUGGAACUGAGACACGGUCCUGACUCCUACGGGAGGCAGCAGUGGGGAAUAUUGCACAAUGGACGAAAGUCUGAUGCAGCAACGCCGCGUGGAGGAUGACACAUUUCGGUGCGUAAACUCCUUUUAUAUGAGAAGAUAAUGACGGUAUUAUAUGAAUAAGCACCGGCUAACUCCGUGCCAGCAGCCGCAGUAA